AUUUUUGCUAGUUGCCGGGACCGACAAAAGUAUCUAUACGAUUUAAAGUGAAAUGCUAUUUUGCAGUAUAUUUUGAAGCAUUUCAAUCGGUUAUUCACAUCACUACUCAAAUAUUUCCACAGUCGUUAACGUUUUUUCUAACAUGUGUACAGUGUAAGUUUGGAUUUAUUUGACUGUUCGUAGAUGAAAAUUAUUUAAAUUUCCACAAUAGCAGCUCUUUCGUUUCAAAGAGAGAGUGUAGAUAACAUUAUUGACUCCUAGAAAUAUGACUGCACUGGUGAGAACUGCAUGUACCUAUACGUUUAGUUUUGCUACAUACCGGAUGCGUUAAUAAGUUAAUUUUUUUUAGAUUAUGUUCAACUUUGCCUUUUUAACGAAAUAUCUAUACUAAAAAGUCCAAAAAAUAAGUAAUACUCAAAUGGCACGCGAGUUUGGACAUCUCUUAUAGUUUUUAGUAGCUGCUCCAGUCGGAUUUUCAAAUACCUAUAAAAACCCGCCUUGUAGGUACUAAAGCAGAAAACUGGUAGAGUAAGCAAAGUAAUGAGCAUCAAAGCUCGGGUUUUUUUGCCACCAACAUUUUAGUCAUAAUCAUUAUUCAGGUAUUCGCUAAAGUGUCAAUCUUUUUUUUAAUUGGUAUCAACAUAAUUAAUCACAUAAUUGCUGAUGUUAAUAAAAUCGAGUUUUUCUGCAUAAUUUUCUUGUCAUUGUCGGCCAAGCUAAUAUAAAUCUCACACCUGCUAAUCAACAGAAAAAACACCACUUGCCCACAUUUAUAUGUACAAGUUAAUUAUCGGUAUUCAGUAAAACAAUGAUUCUUGAAAGCUUGCGUCAUGUGAUGAAGUGACGAUGAAAGUUGCUGAAGUUUGCUUAUAAAUAUUUAACACCAAAACCUUUCGUAGUGAAAACAGAAACGAAUAAAAUGAAAAUCAUGGUAUAAAUCGAUACUAAAUGGGAAGGGAUGACAACUUUUUGAAAUGUUUCCUUUAACGAAGCUAAAGAUAGUUAUAAAUCCACCAGAUAAUAGUGAGAUAUAAUGAACAAUUAUAGGGUGUCCAGAAAUGUAGUGUACAAACUACAGAGAUUGACUCUACAUGGAAAAAAUAAUAUUUCAAAUGUAUAUAGCAGUUUCUAGAAGCCUCGAAAAUAACGAAACUMCAGUUUUCAAGAUCAACCAGCAACAUAUUGGAUCUAACAAGUGAUCCUUAAAAAUUCCGCACAAAAAAUAGAC